AAUCUCUGAGUACAAAACAAAUAAGUCAAAACUUUCAACAACGGAUCUCUUGGUUCUGGCAUCGAUGAAGAACGCAGCGAAAUGCGAUAAGUAAUGUGAAUUGCAGAAUUCAGUGAAUCAUCGAAUCUUUGAACGCACAUUGCGCCCGGCAGUACUCUGCCGGGCAUGCCUGUUCGAGCGUCAUUUCAACCCUCAAGCCCCGCUUGGUGUUGGGGCCCUACGGCUGCCGUAGGCCCUGAAAGGAAGUGGCGGGCUCGCUACAACUCCGAGCGUAGUAACUCACUGUCUCGCUAGGGAGGUUGCGGCGCGCUCCUGCCGUUAAAGACCACAUCUUUAACCAAGGUUGACCUCGGAUCAGGUAGGAAUACCCGCUGAACUUAAGCAUAUCAAUAAGCGGAGGAAAAGAAACCAACAGGGAUUGCCCUAGUAACGGCGAGUGAAGCGGCAACAGCUCAAAUUUGAAAUCUGGCUUCGGCCCGAGUUGUAAUUUGUAGAGGAUGCUUUUGGCGAGGUGCCUUCUGAGUUCCCUGGAACGGGACGCCAGAGAGGGUGAGAGCCCCGUAUAGUCGGACACCUAGCCUCUGUAAAGCUCCUUCGACGAGUCGAGUAGUUUGGGAAUGCUGCUCAAAAUGGGAGGUAUAUCUCUUCUAAAGCUAAAUAUAGGCCAGAGACCGAUAGCGCACAAGUAGAGUGAUCGAAAGAUGAAAAGCACUUUGAAAAGAGGGUUAAAUAGCACGUGAAAUUGUUGAAAGGGAAGCGCUUGUGACCAGACUUGUGCCGGGCUGAUCAUCCAGUGUUCUCACUGGUGCACUCGACCCGGCUCAGGCCAGCGUCGGUUCUCGCGGGGGGAUAAAAGCUU
rnacentral:rRNA from 1 species